CCGUCAAUUCCUUUAAGUUUCAACCUUGCGGCCGUACUCCCCAGGUGGAUUACUUAUUGCUUUUGCUUAGCCGCUGACUGUGUAUCGCCAACAGCGAGUAAUCAUCGUUUACGGCGUGGACUACCAGGGUAUCUAAUCCUGUUCGAUCCCCACGCUUUCGUGCCUCAGCGUCAGUGUCGGUCCAGUAAGCUGCCUACGCAAUUGGUGUUCUGUGUAAUAUCUAAGCAUUUCACCGCUACAUUACACAUUCCGCCUACCUUAACCAAACUCAAGACUAACAGUAUCAAUGGCAGUUCUGCAGUUAAGCUGCAGGAUUUCACCACUGACUUAUUAGUCCGCCUACGCACCCUUUAAACCCAAUGAAUCCGGAUAACGCUCGCAUCCUCCGUAUUACCGCGGC
rnacentral:misc_RNA from 1 species